CCUACGGGAGGCAGCAGUAAGGAAUUUUCGGCAAUGGGCGCAAGCCUGACCGAGCAACGCCGCGUGGAGGACGACGGCCUUCGGGUUGUAAACUCCUUUUCGGGGGGAAGAUUUGGACGGUACCCCCGGAAUAAGGCUCGGCUAACUCUGUGCCAGCAGCCGCGGUAAU
rnacentral:rRNA from 1 species